UAAUGAUGGCUGCUGGAAAACAUG
rnacentral:piRNA from 1 species